GACGGAGGGUGCAAGUGUUAUCCGGAAUCACUGGGCGUAAAGCGUCUGUAGGUGGUUUAAUAAGUCAACUGUUAAAUCUUGAGGCUCAACCGCAAAAUCGCAGUCGAAACUAUUAGGCUAGAGUAUAGUAGGGGUAAAGGGAAUUUCCAGUGGAGCGGUGAAAUGCGUAGAUAUGCGGAGGAACACCGAUGGCGAAGGCAAUCCCCUGGGCCUGCACUGACGCUCAUGCACGAAAGCGUGGGGAGCAAACAGG
rnacentral:rRNA from 1 species